rnacentral:rRNA from 1 species
AGAGUUUGAUCCUGGCUCAGAACGAACGCUGGCGGCAGGCCUAACACAUGCAAGUCGAGCGAUCCCAGCAAUGGGGGAGCGGCAGACGGGUGAGUAACACGUGGGAACGUACCCUUCGGUUCGGAAUAACUCAGGGAAACUUGAGCUAAUACCGGAUACGUCCGAGAGGAGAAAGAUUUAUCGCCGAAGGAUCGGCCCGCGUCUGAUUAGCUAGUUGGUGAGGUAACGGCUCACCAAGGCGACGAUCAGUAGCUGGUCUGAGAGGAUGAUCAGCCACAUUGGGACUGAGACACGGCCCAAACUCCUACGGGAGGCAGCAGUGGGGAAUAUUGGACAAUGGGCGCAAGCCUGAUCCAGCCAUGCCGCGUGAGUGAUGAAGGCCUUAGGGUUGUAAAGCUCUUUUACCUGGGAAGA